UUUCAUCUAAGUGAAAGGUGUGCAGAGCAAUUACAAGAGCCAGAGCCAGAACCAGAAGAAGGAAGAGUACUGAGCUGGACUGCAGCUGCCAUAGCCUUCGCAGUUCGCACCUGGACUCACCCUCGUGUUGACAACUGGUUACAUCGUGGCUACACAAAAGCCUCACUGGUUCAUGAGAUAUCUAGCGUGAUAAAGCUUGGACGCAGAGGAUCCUGUUAGGUCACUUCAAUAGCAAGUUUGAGAAGCUACAGCCAAAGAUACCCUAAAGUGAGGAGCAAUGACUACGAAGUUGAGAUCUUUCCUCUCCCAAUACGCUUGGUUAUGUACGGUACAAGAAAUACUUUCUUCUUGUAGGCGCAUAUGCAUGCAGCUCUUUAUUGGAAACAAAAUGAAUAAUAGAAUCGUUAUUGACCAUUUAAGAUUUGUUGAAUAGAUUUUAUAUAUAUAUAUGUACGAUAUUAUCAAAACAAA